rnacentral:rRNA from 1 species
GACAGAGGGUGCAAACGUUGCUCGGAAUUACUGGGCGUAAAGCGCGUGUAGGCGGUUUCGCAAGUCAGGUGUGAAAGCCCGGGGCUCAACCCCGGAAGUGCACUUGAUACUACGGAGCUUGAGUACUGAAGAGGAGAGCGGAAUUCCCGGUGUAGAGGUGAAAUUCGUAGAUAUCGGGAGGAACACCAGUGGCGAAGGCGGCUCUCUGGGCAGAUACUGACGCUGCGACGCGAAAGCAUGGGGAGCAAACAGG